ACAAUGCAGCCAGAAGAGCAUCUUUUCCUACCGUGGCCCUGGGGGAGGCCAAAGCUGCUCAAAUCACCGGCGAUAUGUAGGCCAGGGCUCCAAGCUGGGACAGAAACUCCAGGACAAGGUCACCGUCUCCUGACUGAAGAGGACAAGGCCAAGAAGCCCUGGUUCUGUGUCUACAUCGUGGCUAUGUAGUGAUCUCUGUAGAGAUCUACCACCUCUCUGAACCGUAGCCUUGACACUGGACAUUGGGCCUCGGGCUAGACAAUUCUGAAGUUCAGCUGUGAGAUUCCACAGGUGAAUGGAGAGACAAGAAGGUGGUCUCCCAAGGCUUGUCUGGAACCAAAUCCCUGGAAGGAAACCUUUCCCUGAGGAGAGAUCUUAAACCCCUCAGGGGUUGUUCUCCAUUCCAGGCCUCAGUUUUUCUGUCUGCAAAAUGGACUAAUAAAUACCUACUUGGCAGGGUUGUUACAUGUGAUAAA
rnacentral:lncRNA from 1 species